CUUGACGACCAUAGAGCAUUGGAACCACCUGAUCCCAUCCCGAACUCAGUAGUGAAACGAUGUAU
rnacentral:rRNA from 1 species